rnacentral:lncRNA from 1 species
AAAAGAACCAUGAGGCCUAAAGAGAAAAUAUCUUAUCUAAAAAGAGGGUUUACAUUGGAUGCGUAUAUGGGUUUGGACUUUGAAGUUUUAUUGGGCCCUCUCUCCAUGGAAAGCGAGAGUUUCUGAAGUCAACUUAUAGAGAUCCAACUUAUUAGGGAAUCGGUCAGGAUAGCAACACUUCUUCUUUUAAUAAGAAAAACUACACCUAGUGCUACAAUAUAAAAUAUUUUUUUUGGAUACCAUACAAUAUAAAUUAUAGGUAAUUUUAGUGUACUUGUUAAAAAAAUUUAAAAAUUUGAAGUUUUGCCUAAUUUUCUUGUCCAAAAAAAAAAAAAUUUAAAAAAUUAUAUUGAAAAUUUGAAACAAUAUUUUUUAAUUUUGAAUUUUUUUGGAAAAAAAAUUAAAUAAUGGAAUACAUAAUUUUCGAGCAAUGAUUCUUUCCAUUUUUUUCCUCUCAAAAUUUUCAAUUUUUAUAUCUUAACCAUGUAUCAACUUUUUUUAAAUUUUUUUAAUUAAAAUAUUAUCCCAUAUGUCAAUAAUUCAUAGCUCAAUUGACAAAAAAUAUCAAAAUUGCUAGGUGAUGACAGUCAAUUAUAUGAUAUUUUUAGUAGUAAUUUAGGAUAGUUUCAAUAGCAAUUGAAGCCCAAAAGCAAGCAAAUAUCUGAGAAAGUGAAGUUACUUGGCCCGGAAGCAAGAAAAGUGGAAAAAGUAUAAAAAAGGGCAAAAACAUAAUAAACAGUGCAACCCAUCGUACCCACGAUGAGAUCCGGCGUGGCACGAUGAGAAGGCGGUUUAAAUUGAAGAAAAUCUGCAAAAAAUCUUUUUCAUCGUACCACGAUGACUUGUUAUUGUGGCACGAUGAUGACGGCAAAAGCACACAGAGAAUACUGAGGAAAUCUUAGAAAAGCCCAAGACCCACCUGAAAAACUAUAAAUAGAGUCUUUCUCCUCCACUAUUAUUCAUUCAGAAAUAUUGAGAACAAUUCAAUAUUCACAAGAGAGUUAGGAGAACUCUAAGGAGGAGGCACAGAGAGCUCAAGUGCUUCGAGGGCAUAAGGGUAAUCUUUAUGCUUUCUUUGACUUAUUGUUUUUUAUGGUUUUUAGUAGCUAAACCCCAUCAGGGUUAGGUCAAGUAGAUGAACUCCC